GGGAAAGAUAAACCCACCUGAAUGCAGAGUUCCAGAGAAUAGCGAGGAGACAUAAGAAGACCUUCUUCUAUGAACAAUGCAAAGAAAUAGAGGAAAACAACAGAAUGGGAAAGACUGGAGAUCUGUAUAAGAAAAUUGGAGAAAUAAAGGGA